rnacentral:rRNA from 1 species
UACGUAGGUGACAAGCGUUGUCCGGAUUUACUGGGCGUAAAGAGCGCGCAGGCGGUCGUUCAAGUCGAGUGUGAAAGCCCCCGGCUCAACUGGGGAGGGUCACUCGAUACUGAUCGACUCGAAGGCAGGAGAGGGAAGUGGAAUUCCCGGUGUAGUGGUGAAAUGCGUAGAUAUCAAGAGGAACACCAGUGGCGAAGGCGAGUCCCUGGACAACUUCUGACGCUGAGGCACGAAAGCUAGGGGAGCAAACAGG